rnacentral:rRNA from 2 species
UAAUUGAAGAGUUUGAUCAUGGCUCAGAUUGAACGCUGGCGGCAGGCCUAACACAUGCAAGUCGAGCGGUAACAGGG